rnacentral:tRNA from 1 species
GGGGCUAUGGCGCAGCUGGUAGCGCGUCUCACUGGCAGUGAGAAGGUCAGGGGUUCGAGUCCCCUUAGCUCCACCC